GAUGAAGAACGCAGCGAAAUGCGAUAAGUAAUGUGAAUUGCAGAAUUCAGUGAAUCAUCGAAUCUUUGAACGCACAUUGCGCCCGCCAGUAUUCUGGCGGGCAUGCCUGUUCGAGCGUCAUUUCAUCCAUCAAGCCCCCGGCUUGUGUUGGGGACCUGCGGCUGCCGCAGGCCCUGAAAAGCAGUGGCGGGCUCGCUGUCACACCGAGCGUAGUAGCAUACAUCUCGCUCUGGGCGUGCUGCGGGUUCCGGCCGUUAAACCACCUUCAUAACCCAAGGUUGACCUCGGAUCAGGUAGGAAGACCCGCUGAACUUAAGCAUAUCAAUAAGCGGAGGA
rnacentral:misc_RNA from 1 species